rnacentral:rRNA from 2 species
UUUAUGGAGAGUUUGAUCCUGGCUCAGAGUGAACGCUGGCGGCGUGCCUAAUACAUGCAAGUCGAACGAUGAAGCUUCUAGCUUGCUAGAAGUGGAUUAGUGGCGCACGGGUGAGUAACGCAUAGGUCAUGUGCCUCUUAGUUUGGGAUAGCCAUUGGAAACGAUGAUUAAUACCAGAUACUCCCUACGGGGGAAAGAUUUAUCGCUAAGAGAUCAGCCUAUGUCCUAUCAGCUUGUUGGUAAGGUAAUGGCUUACCAAGGCUAUGACGGGUAUCCGGCCUGAGAGGGUGAACGGACACACUGGAACUGAGACACGGUCCAGACUCCUACGGGAGGCAGCAGUAGGGAAUAUUGCUCAAUGGGGGAAACCCUGAAGCAGCAACGCCGCGUGGAGGAUGAAGGUUUUAGGAUUGUAAACUCCUUUUGUUAGAGAAGAUAAUGACGGUAUCUAACGAAUAAGCACCGGCUAACUCCGUGCCAGCAGCCGCGGUAAUACGGAGGGUGCAAGCGUUACUCGGAAUCACUGGGCGUAAAGAGCGCGUAGGCGGGAUAGUCAGUCAGGUGUGAAAUCCUAUGGCUUAACCAUAGAACUGCAUUUGAAACUACUAUUCUAGAGUGUGGGAGAGGUAGGUGGAAUUCUUGGUGUAGGGGUAAAAUCCGUAGAGAUCAAGAGGAAUACUCAUUGCGAAGGCGACCUGCUGGAACAUUACUGACGCUGAUUGCGCGAAAGCGUGGGGAGCAAACAGGAUUAGAUACCCUGGUAGUCCACGCCCUAAACGAUGGAUGCUAGUUGUUGGAGGGCUUAGUCUCUCCAGUAAUGCAGCUAACGCAUUAAGCAUCCCGCCUGGGGAGUACGGUCGCAAGAUUAAAACUCAAAGGAAUAGACGGGGACCCGCACAAGCGGUGGAGCAUGUGGUUUAAUUCGAAGAUACACGAAGAACCUUACCUAGGCUUGACAUUGAGAGAAUCCGCUAGAAAUAGUGGAGUGUCUAGCUUGCUAGACCUUGAAAACAGGUGCUGCACGGCUGUCGUCAGCUCGUGUCGUGAGAUGUUGGGUUAAGUCCCGCAACGAGCGCAACCCCCUUUCUUAGUUGCUAACAGGUCAUGCUGAGAACUCUAAGGAUACUGCCUCCGUAAGGAGGAGGAAGGUGGGGACGACGUCAAGUCAUCAUGGCCCUUACGCCUAGGGCUACACACGUGCUACAAUGGGGUGCACAAAGAGAAGCAAUACUGCGAAGUGGAGCCAAUCUUCAAAACGCCUCUCAGUUCGGAUUGUAGGCUGCAACUCGCCUGCAUGAAGCUGGAAUCGCUAGUAAUCGCAAAUCAGCCAUGUUGCGGUGAAUACGUUCCCGGGUCUUGUACUCACCGCCCGUCACACCAUGGGAGUUGUGUUUGCCUUAAGUCAGGAUGCUAAACUAGCUACUGCCCACGGCACACACAGCGACUGGGGUGAAGUCGUAACAAGGUAACCGUAGGUGAACCUGCGGUUGGAUCACCUCCUUU